rnacentral:SRP_RNA from 1 species
GCCAGGCACAGUGGCACAUUCCUGUAGUCCCAGGUACUCGGGAGGCUGAGGUGGGAGGAUCACUUGAGCCCAGGAGUUCUGGGCUGUAGUGCGCUAUGCCAAUCAGGUGUCUGCACUAAGUUCGGCAUCAAUAAGGUGACCUCCCGGGAACGGGGGACCACCAGGUUGCCUAAGGAGGGGUGAACCGGCCCAGGUCGGAAACAGAGCAGGUCAAAACUCCCGUGCUGAUCAGUAGUGGGAUCGCACCUGUGAAGGGCCACUGCAUGCCAGCCUGGGCAACAUAGCGAGACCCGUCUCUU